rnacentral:tRNA from 1 species
UUUAUGUAGUUUAUUAAACAUUACAUUUUCAUUGUAAAAUUAAAAUUUUAUUUUUCUUAAAU